rnacentral:lncRNA from 1 species
CAUAUGUCCAUGGCUUCAAAUUUGCCUCUAACUAAAAAGAAAUAAAUUAGUUCCACAUGUUUAACAUAAUUGACCAGCAAGUUAAAUUAAACAUGAACAUAGAAUUAAAAGAAGAAAGAAUUCCAAACACUCUAAUAGUUGCAGAUUGCAUAAGCAUGGCACUACUCCUCCUCUCCUUCAAUGGUGGCGGCACAAGGUGGUUAUGGUGGUUGAAUGGUUGGUUAUAUGGAGGAAUGAAUAGGGAAGGUUUAGAUAUGUAGGGAGAGGCAAGGGAAGGCUUGGAGAAUGGUUA